rnacentral:misc_RNA from 1 species
UCCGGUUUGGCACCGGCAGUCUUCCUAGAGUCCCCGCCAUUACGCGCUGGCAACAUAAGAUAAGGGUUGCGCUCGUUGCGGGACUUAACCCAACAUCUCACGACACGAGCUGACGACAGCCAUGCACCACCUGUACACCGACCACAAGGGGGCCUACAUCUCUGCAGGUUUCCGGUGUAUGUCAAACCCAGGUAAGGUUCUUCGCGUUGCGUCGAAUUGAAAACCACAUGCUCCACCGCUUGUGCGGGCCCCCGUCAAUUCCUUUGAGUUUCAACCUUGCGGUCGUACUCCCCAGGCGGGGUACUUCCUGCGUUAGCGCCGGCACCCAGAGGGUCGCUCCCCCAGGCACCUAGUACCCAUCGUUUACGGCGUGGACUAC